UUAUUACUCCCUCCGUCCGAAAAAGCUUGUCCCAAGCUUGUCCCUCAAAUGGAUGUAUCUAGCACUAACUUGAUGCUAGAUACAUCUAUUUGAGGGACAAGCUUUUUUGGACGGAGGGAGUAACAU
rnacentral:pre_miRNA from 1 species